rnacentral:rRNA from 1 species
UGGUACUGAGACACGGACCAGACUCGUACGGGAAGGCAGCAGUGAGGAAUAUUAGUCAAUGGGAGCGAGCCUGAACCAGCCAAGUCGCGUGAGGGAUGACGUCCCUACGGAUUGUAAACUUCUUUUGGUCGGGGAGCAAAUUCCGCCACGUGUGGCGGAGUCGAGAGUACCCGAAGAAAAAGCAUCGGCUAACUCCGUGCCAGCAGCCGCGGUAAUACGGAGGAUGCGAGCGUUAUCUCGGAUUUAUUGGGUUUAAAGGGUGCGUAGGCGGACUGUCAAGUCAGCGGUAAAAUACGGGGGCUCAACCUCCGCCCUCCGUGAAACUGACGGUCUUGAGUGGGCGAGAAGUAUGCGGAAUGCGUGGUGUAGCGGUGAAAUGCAUAGAUAUCACGCAGAACUCCGAUGGCGAAGGCAGCAUACCGGCGCCCAACUGACGCUGAAGCACGAGAGGGGUGGGUAUCCAACAGGAUUAGAUACCCUGGUAGUCCACGCAGUAAACGAUGAAUACUAGCUGUCCGGGGCGGAAUGAGCCCUGGGUGGCACAGCGAAAAGCGUUAAGUAUUCCACCUGGGGAGUAAACCGGCAACGGUGAAACUCAAAGGAAUUGACGGGGGCCCGCACAAGCGGAGGAACAUGUGGUUUAAUUCGAUGAUACGCGAGGAACCUUACCCGGGCUCAAACGACACAGGAACGGUCCUGAAAGGGGUCGGCUCUACGGAGCCUGUGUCGAGGUGCUGCAUGGUUGUCGUCAGCUCGUGCCGUGAGGUGUCGGCUUAAGUGCCAUAACGAGCGCAACCCCCAUCGACAGUUGCUAACAGGUCAAGUUGAGGACUCUGUCGAGACUGCCGGCGCAAGCUGCGAGGAAGGCGGGGAUGACGUCAAAUCAGCACGGCCCUUACGUCCGGGGCGACACACGUGUUACAAUGGCAGGUACAGCGGGAAGCCACCUGGCGACAGGGAGCGGAGCCCGAAAGCCUGUCUCAGUUCGGAUUGGAGUCUGCAACCCGACUCCAUGAAGCUGGAUUCGCUAGUAAUCGCGCAUCAGCCACGGCGCGGUGAAUACGUUCCCGGGCCUUGCACACACCGCCCGUCAAG